rnacentral:rRNA from 1 species
UACGUAGGGUGCGAGCGUUAAUCGGAAUUACUGGGCGUAAAGGGUGCGUAGGCGGCGGAGUACGUUGGGUGUGAAAUCCCGGGGCUCAACCUCGGAAUGGCAUUCAAUACUGCUUCGCUAGAGUACUGGAGAGGAGGCUGGAGUUUACGGUGUAGCAGUGAAAUGCGUAGAUAUCGUGAGGAAGGCCGGUGGCGAAAGCGAGCCUCUGGACAGUUACUGACGCUGAUGCACGAAGGCCAGGGGAGCAAACGGG